UACGUAGGGGGCAAGCGUUGUCCGGAAUUAUUGGGCGUAAAGAGCUCGUAGGCGGUCUGUCGCGUCGAUCGUGAAAACUUGGGGCUUAACCCUGAGCUUGCGGUCGAUACGGGCAUGACUGGAGUUCGGCAGGGGAGACUGGAAUUCCUGGUGUAGCGGUGGAAUGCGCAGAUAUCAGGAGGAACACCAAUAGCGAAGGCAGCUCGCUGGGACGUUACUGACACUGAGGCGCGAAAGCGUGGGGAGCGAACAGG
rnacentral:rRNA from 1 species